rnacentral:snRNA from 1 species
GUACUCACUUCAGCAGCACAUAUACUAAAAUUGGACCAACACAUAGAAGAUUAGCAUGGCCCCUGCGCAAGAAUGACAUGCAAAUUCAUGAAAGUGUUCCGUAUUUU